UCCCCACCGCACCUGGUUUACGACACUCGCGGCUUUACGACAUCACCUUCCUUACACCUAGAGGCGCUCGCUCUACGGCCGGAACCUUGUUGCUAGGGAGAGGACGGUUUGCGGCAGUGUAGAAGCAGCUGAAUUUGAAUUGAGGGGGAGAGGGAAAAGUUUCCCUCAGACGCGUGGUUUUCCCCGAGCGAACCGGGUUGGGAAGUCGCUUCGGUAGAACUUAAGCUGAGCCGAGACCGAGGCUACAAGUUCCGCUUCUAAGCAACCGUGGCGGUACUACUGACCUGCAUGAUUCUGACCAAUGAGAAAUAAGUGGCAGUGAUAAGUGCAACUUGGAUGAAGUCCUUCAAAAGAAGAUAGUUCAUCAUUCUUUCUCUUCUAACUGAUGGGUAGUGCCAGACCUGUUGACUAGAGGGUUAUAAGAUUAAGGAAGACAGAGCAACAAGAUUGAAGAAAACCGAGUCUAUGGACUGCCUACCUCCAGAUCUCUUUUGUAGAGAAAGAAAUAAAUAUAUAUUUUUAAGCCACCUUUUCUUAGUUUUUUUUUCCUCAUGCAAAGU